CCUACGGGUGGCUGCAGUGAGGAAUAUUGGUCAAUGGACGAGAGUCUGAACCAGCCAAGUAGCGUGAAGGAUGACUGCCCUAUGGGUUGUAAACUUCUUUUAUAUGGGAAUAAAAUGUUCCACGUGUGGGAUUUUGUAUGUACCAUAUGAAUAAGGAUCGGCUAACUCCGUGCCAGCAGCCGCGGUAAUACGGAGGAUCCGAGCGUUAUCCGGUUUUAUUGGGUUUAAAGGGAGCGUAGGUGGAUUGUUAAGUCAGUUGUGAAAGUUUGCGGCUCAACCGUAAAAUUGCAGUUGAAACUGGCAGUCUUGAGUACAGUAGAGGUGGGCGGAAUUCGUGGUGUAGCGGUGAAAUGCUUAGAUAUCACGAAGAACUCCGAUUGCGAAGGUAGUUCACUGGACUGCAACUGACACUGAGGCUCGAAAGUGUGGGUAUCAAACAGGAUUAGAUACCCUUGUAGUC
rnacentral:rRNA from 1 species